AGCGGCGGACGGGUGAGUAACACGUGGGCAACCUGCCUGUAAGACUGGGAUAACUCCGGGAAACCGGGGCUAAUACCGGAUAGGUGAUGUCUUCGCAUGAAGAGAUCAGGAAAGAUGGCUUCGGCUAUCACUUACAGAUGGGCCCGCGGCGCAUUAGCUAGUUGGUGAGGUAACGGCUCACCAAGGCGACGAUGCGUAGCCGACCUGAGAGGGUGAUCGGCCACACUGGGACUGAGACACGGCCCAG
rnacentral:rRNA from 1 species